GGAGCGGUAGUUCAGUUGGUUAGAAUACCGGCCUGUCACGCCGGGGGUCGCGGGUUCGAGUCCCGUCCGCCC
rnacentral:tRNA from 1 species